rnacentral:lncRNA from 1 species
AAAAUUGGUGUAUAACCAGUAAAUGACACGCGCUUCGCGACGGAUAAUCAAAUAAUAGUUAGUGAAUAUAAUGUUUUUUUAAUAAAUUAAAAGUUAAAAAAAAUAUAAGCAGAAUUGAUAAAAUAGUUAGAUAAGUGGAUAACAAAGUGCAUACAAAAUAAAGAUUAGAACUAUAUAAAUAAAUACUUCAAAUAAAAUGUGAGCAGAACUGAUAUUAUUUAUAUUUAAUUAAAUGCGGGCAUGUUUAAAAUAGUUAGAUUAGUGGACGUUGAGAGGUAGUAAGUAUAGAAGUAAGAAAAAAAACAAACAAAGCUGUAGAAAAGAUAUUAAAACGUUGAGGGGUAGUAAGCAUAGAAGUAGUGUUGUAAAAAAAAUCUAAAUAGUUACAGGGAUGGCAUUCUGAAACUGCACUAUUUUUUUGAAAAAGAAAAAACUGCACCAUAUCAACAAAGAAAGUUAAGGAAAAGCGUUGAGCAAUAGUAAACAUAAAAAUAGCAUUCUGAAAACUUGAAAAAGUUACAGGAAAGAUAUUCUGAAAGUAAAAGCAACAUGGAUAGCUGGAUACAAAGUAGGCAAAACCAACUAACUACAUCACAGAUUUGGAGGCAUCUACAUUUAGCCCAAAAAUACUCCAAAAUCUGAAGAGAUUAUAAGUAAACCAUUCCUAAAGCCAAAACUACACAGGCAGAUUACGUACAAAAUAGACAUAACAAAGACAGUAUAUCUUAAUCUUUGAGACCCCAACAUCUAAUC